GAAGAUAUUUGGCGCGUAGAACCAACAAACAUUAGGGUAUCGGAAGCAACAAGCAAUGAAACUUGCAGAAACUAACUUAGCAACACUUCAAUGGCAGUAAACUACACUUCAAUUUUUCAUUACACUUAAAACAUGCUUCACGCUCCACUACAAUCAUCGCUUCUCUUCGUUUCCUUCUUAGGGUUUCUUAUUCUUCUUUCCAUAAUCAAAAUCCCUUGCGUUCGCGGAGAGUCUUCCACCUGCUUGACGGUUUACAGAAACGGCGGUGCUCCCGCGGUCUUUAAAUCCCCGAAAUGUCCCCGAUGGAAGCUUCCCGAAGGCCAAGGUGAAGACGACGAUUCCGAUUACCACCGUAGUCGCCGCUCUCCGCCUCAUGCGACGCCGCGUUGCCAGUCCGCCAUGCUCCAGGGCAGCCGUUCCUCCCAGGAGGACCGCACUCUCUGCGUCCUCGAUCUCCGGAUUCCGUUUCCCGAUGCGGAUGGGAUCAGGGAGGUUGCGGUGGGAAUCGUGGCAGUUUUUGACGGGCACAAUGGUGCUGAAGCUAGUGAAAUGGCGUCAAAGCUUCUGAUGGAGUAUUUUGUAUUGCACACCUAUUUUUUACUUGAUGCAGCUUUUUCUGUUAUAUCAAAAACAAGGGGAGCAGUGCAUCACCAGAGAGAGCACAAUCGUUUGAACAUGAUGCGUAGGUGGAAGGAGAUUCUAGGUUGGCAUGAGCUGCAUUUUGAAAGGUUCCAAAAUACAUUUUCUGCAAAUUUUGAUGAUUCUUUUCACUUGGAAAUUUUGAAGGAAGCAUUAUUGAGAGCUAUCCAUGAUAUUGAUGCAAAAUUUUCUGAGGAAGCCUUCAGAAAUAGUCUUCAUUCAGGGUCUACGGCAAUCAUUAUAUUGAUGGCAGAUGAUAACAUUUUAGUUGCCAAUAUUGGAGAUUCUAAGGCUUUCUUGUGCUCUGAAAAUUUUCAGUCUCCUAGAGAGGCCAAAGACUUAUUACUGAAGCAAUAUAGGCAGAAAGAGCUUGAUGGUUCUGUUGCUGUGUGGAAUCGUGAAAAGUAUAAGUUAGCUUCCUCCCAUGGACUGACUCAUUUUGCUGUAAAAGAAUUGACCAGUGAUCAUCACCCAGACAGAGAUGAUGAAAGGAUUCGGGUGGAAGCAGCUGGUGGUCAAGUUAUAAAUUGGGGGGGAGUGCCUCGUGUAAAUGGCCAGCUGGCUAUUACACGGGCAAUUGGUGAUGUAUUCUUUAAAAGGUACGGUGUUAUAUCUGUGCCAGAAGUGACUGAUUGGCAGCCUCUGACUGCCAAUGAUAGCUAUUUAGUGGCUGCAUCCGAUGGUGUUUUUGAGAAAAUGAGCAUGCAGGAAGUCUGUGAUUUGUUAUGGGAAGUACACUCUUUCUCUAAUAAUAUAGAAUCAGAGUGUGCCCCUUCACCUUCACUUUCACCUUCAUAUUCGUUAGCAGAUCUCAUUGUCAACACUGCCUUGGGAAAGGGCAGUACGGAUAAUGUGGCCGCCAUUGUUGUUCCUCUGGAAUCUGCCAAAGUUUCUGCAAACUCGCUUAGGAGAAGCUAUAUUGAGAAGAGGGAUGCUGAUUAUCCUCUGCUUGCAUUGCAGGAACUUGCUUCAAGAAGUUUAGCUAAUGACGUCAUAUCUGAUGUAAUGCACUUGAGGCAUCCUCAUGCGGUGGAUACCAAGUUUAAGCGUAUAUUGGUUGAAGUGAAACAUGGAGAUUUUGGAUGUUUUUAUUUGUCUGAAAAUCUUGAUGAACUUGUGGACUCUAAGCAGCCUACCAAAAGUACUGACUGGGAAGAUUAUUUAUAUGAACUACCUCAGCCCGUACCAGAUACACAUCAACAUUCUGUAAAUGGUCCAGUAUAUUUGUAUGAUAACCAAAACUUCUGCUUACAACUUGGUCCGACUGUUAAUGAAUCUAAGGAACAAUGCAUAAAUCCUGAAGCAUUUGCAAAUUUUAUUGGUCUUCUUGAAUCAAUUCCUUUACAUGAUACUGGUUCACAUAAUGGAUCCUCUGGUUAUUCAAUGCCUGAAUCAAGGUACAAACUAAAGAAGAGUUUCGGUCGUGGAUCAUAUGGUGAAGUAUGGUUAGCUUUUCAUUGGAAUUGUAAUGAAGGGAUUAAUGCUGCAGAAAUGAGCAACAAUGACAAUAAUAGAAACGACAGCUCAAACACCAAUGAUUUCCAGGAUGCUUCCACUAACUAUACUCUGUACAUUUUGAAGCGUAUAAUGGUAGAGAGAGGGUCUGCUGUUUACUUAAGUGGCCUGAGGGAGAAAUAUUUUGGAGAAACUUUUUUAAAUGCCUCCUCAAGCUUUGAAGAUCUGCUAUCAGCUGAAAAACCAAACUGUCUCUUGGAAACAUCACAAUUUGGGUUUGAGAAUACAUUUUCAAACAGGUCAAAAAGAUCUGUAUAUGAAGAAGGCUUGAACCAUAUUGUAAGAUAUGUGGAGUCUUUUGAAUCUCGGUCCAAUGAAAUUUGGCUUGUAUUCAAUUUUGAAGGCGUAUCGUUGUCUAAACUUUUGCAUACUGUGGAAGAUCCAUAUGAUACUGCUGAGAAAGAAAAGACUGAGCAAGUAAAACAUGUCCAAAUACUGCGUCCAUCGAAGUGGUGGCAUUGGUUGAAAACAACAGAAGAAGGGCAAGAGGAAAUGCGCAACCUUAUCUGGCAGCUGUUUCUGGCACUGAAAUCUUGUCACGAUCGCAAUAUUACACACAGGGACAUUAAACCUGAAAAUAUGGUGAUAUGCUUUGAAGAUCAGGAGACUGGAAGAUGUUUGAAAGAUAUACCGACUAAACUAAAUAGUUUCUCCACCAAAAUGCGUGUUAUAGACUUUGGCAGUGGAAUUGAUGAAUUCACAUUGAAGCAUUUAUAUGGUUCAACUGGGCCUUCUAGGGCUGAACAAACUUAUGAGUAUACACCUCCUGAAGCUUUGUUAAAUGCUACGUGGUAUCAAGGCCCAACAAGCUCAACUUUGAAAUAUGACAUGUGGAGUGUUGGUGUUGUAAUGUUAGAGUUGGUCUUAGGGACACCAAAUGUUUUCCAGAUCGAUGCUUUAACACAAACUCUUUUGGACCAGCAUCUUGACGGCUGGAAUGAGGGUGUGAAGGAGCUGGCUUACAAACUCAGAUCAUUCAUGGAAUUGUGUAUCUUAAUCCCUGAGAUAUCCAGAAGUUCCUCAAAAAAGUAUCACACAGCUAACCAGGCUGGUGUUUCACCUGCAUCUUGGAAAUGCUCGGAAGAAUUCUUUUCUCAUCAAAUAAAGAGCCGAGAUCCUCUUAAAAUAGGUUUUUCAAAUAUCUGGGCUUUGCGGUUAGUGCGCCAUCUGUUACAGUGGGACCCAGAGGACCGGAUAAGCGUUGAUGAGGCAUUGCAGCAUCCCUAUUUCCAACCUCCCCCGAGAGGAUGAUUUGUUGGGAAACAACUUCAAAAUAUUCAAUCUAGAGGAUGAAACAUCCUUUGUUUCCUAUCAGUGACCCAUCCAACGGAAAUAGAUGAUGGUGCAAGAAGAAGAAUUGUGCAAAUACAUGAACGAUGUUCAUGUAUCAACCCUGACAAAAGGACGACUAAAAGCCAGAAUGACUACUACCAGGCACACAGGUUGCGGCAUAGGUGACAAACAUCACAUCAUGUAUCCGAUCUUGGAGAACAAAGAUAAAAGGCACAGAAAGAUGAGCAUGAAAAGUAUGGACAAGAAGCGGGAGCACAACCCGCAAAGGAGCUUCAGUGGCAAACCAAAUCUCGAAUAAUCUUUUUGGUUGUUGCCUUGAUGUGAGGAUGGAAAGGAACACGAUCAGCGCCGAGAUGGAGAAGCAAAGCGCAACCAAUGACGACAUGGCAAAUGUGUCGAAUGACAGUUGUCCUUCUAGGUUUGGCAUAUCGUUAUUGUUGUUGCUGCCGGAUAUAUUGCUUGAUGUGGUGAAGGAAACGCCUGCUAUGAGUGACGCCAUCACAGAGCAAGACUCCGCCGUGUUUCUUAGCCAUUCACUGCCUUGACGCACAAGUUCCUUGUGGCUUUCGAUGAAGUUCUCACCUGAGAUCUCACCUUUGUUGUUGUCUUUGAAAAUUACGUUUGUCGGUACAAUUUCUCUAUCACAUACUGCUUUUUCAAAUUAAAAAUGCAUGGAAUAGGAAGAAAGCAAUUAAAAAUAGUAGCGUUUGGUGGAUAGACAGAGACAAAAAGAUUGAGACUGAGAGACAGAGACUAAAAGAUCGGGAUUGAAACAAAUCUUAGUAUUUUGUUUGGUACAAAAUGGGAGACAGGAAUUGAAACAAGAAUGAAACUCUAAUUUAAUUUGUACAAAGGGUAAAAUUGGAAUUAAUUAAUUGAAAUGAAAGUAUUUUAGGUAUAAAAUGUUAUUAAAGUUUCAGUCUCCAUCUCUAAAAAUUUUAGUCCCCUGCGUCCCUAUUUUUUGGAGGUAUUGAAAUACUGAAAUUUUAGAGACAGAGACAGAAAUUUUAGUACCAGUUUCUGAAUUAACAAACACGAUACUGAGUCUCAGUCUCUCAGUCUUUGUCUUAGUACCUGAAAACAAACGCUACCGCAUGAAUACGAUAAUUGUGUUUGGAAGGGAGACAGAGAUUCAAAUUAAAUU